AACGAACGCUGGCGGCAUGCCUAACACAUGCAAGUCGAACGAGACCUUCUGUUUUCCUGGCCCACGGGUUGGUAAAGCCUGGGAACCUGCCCUUAGGUUCGGGAUCACUACCCGAAAGGGGUUCUUAUCCCGGCUUAUGCUUUCGUGCCAAAGAUUUAUUCCGUUUGGGUGGGCCCGCGUUUGUUUAGCUCGUUGGUAGGGUAAAAGACCAUCAAGGCGACGAUACAUAGCUGGUCUGAGAGGAUGAUCAGACACACUGGGAGUGAGACACGUCCCAGACUCCUACGGGAGGCAGCAGUGGGGAAUAUCGGACUAUGGGCGAAAGUCUGAUCCAGCAAUGCCGCGUAAGUAAUGAAGGCCUGAGGGUUGUAAUGCUCUUUUACGCGAGAUGAGAAUGACAGUACCGGGAGAAUAAGCUCCGGCUAACUCCGUG
rnacentral:rRNA from 1 species